GCUCAGCCGUCAACAAAGACAGUACAAAAUACAAUACUGUUCGCCAGAGAACUACAAGCUAAAACUCAAAACUCCAAGGACUUGGCGGUGCUCCACACCAACCUAGAGGAGCCUGUCCUAUAAUCGAUACCCCACGAUCUACCUCACCACUUUUUGAAACUCAGCCUAUAUACCGCCGUCGUCAGCCUACCUUAUGAAAGAAGUAUAGUAAGUAAAAUAGUCAUCAACUAAAACGUCAGGUCAAGGUGUAGCACAUAAAGUGGAAGAGAUGGGCUACACUCUCUCCCCCAGAGGACACGAACAGCAUCAAUGAAACCCUGCUCAAAGGUGGAUUUAGCAGUAAGAUAAACAAGAAAACUUAUCUUAAACCAGCCCUGGAGCGCGC
rnacentral:rRNA from 1 species